rnacentral:rRNA from 1 species
GGUGAACGCUGGCGGCGUGCUUAAGACAUGCAAGUCGAACGGCAGUCUUCGGACUGUAGUGGCGCACGGGUGAGUAACGCGUAACUGACCUACCCCAAAGUCGCGGAUAACGAUUCGAAAGAAUCGCUAAUACGUGAUGUGCUGUCAGAUUGUGUUCUGCCAGUAAAGAUUGAUUGCUUUGGGAUGGGGUUGCGUUCCAUCAGCUAGUUGGUGGGGUAAAGGCCCACCAAGGCGACGACGGAUAGCCGGCCUGAGAGGGUGGCCGGCCACAGGGGCACUGAGACACGGGUCCCACUCCUACGGGAGGCAGCAGUUAGGAAUCUUCCACAAUGGGCGAAAGCCUGAUGGAGCGACGCCGCGUGAGGGAUGAAGGUCUUCGGAUCGUAAACCUCUGAAUCAGGGACGAAAGACACUUCGGUGAGAUGACGGUACCUGAGUAAUAGCACCGGCUAACUCCGUGCCAGCAGCCGCCGUAACAC